rnacentral:rRNA from 1 species
GAUGAACGCUGGCGGCGUGCCUAACACAUGCAAGUCGAACGAAGCGACUCAAAGUUUUCGGACAGAGAGUUGACUGAGUGGCGGACGGGUGAGUAACGCGUGGGUAACCUGCCUCAUACAGGGGGAUAACAGUUAGAAAUGACUGCUAAUACCGCAUAAGCGCACAGCAUCGCAUGAUGCAGUGUGAAAAGCCGAGACGGUAUGAGAUGGACCCGCGUCUGAUUAGCUAGUUGGUGGGGUAACGGCCCACCAAGGCGACGAUCAGUAGCCGACCUGAGAGGGUGACCGGCCACAUUGGGACUGAGACACGGCCCAA